rnacentral:rRNA from 1 species
CACGUAGGCACCAAGCGUUGUCCGGAUUUACUGGGCGUAAAGAGCGCGCAGGCGGUCGUUCAAGUCGCGUGUGAAAGCCCCCGGCUCAACUGGGGAGGGUCACGCGAUACUGAUCGACUCGAAGGCAGGAGAGGGUAGUGGAAUUCCCGGUGUAGUGGUGAAAUGCGUAGAUAUCGGGAGGAACACCCGUGGCGAAGGCGGCUCUCUGGGACGGUACUGACGCUGAGACGCGAAAGCGUGGGGAGCGAACAGG